GAGUAACGAUUUUAUUGGUUUAGGAAAUUAAUGUGAUAGCAAAAUGUAAAAUUACUGUAUUUCAAUGAGUGGCAUAGAUUGGUAAUUAUUGUGGAAAACUUAUGGUUAAGUACAAAAUGUACUUAUGUUUUAAUAGAUUAGUAGAUUUAAACUCGGUCUACCCUAGACUAGACAGCUAUAAGUUUUGUAUUUGUUCCCGAAUUUUAUUGCAAGUUGAUCAAAUGGGAGAUAAGCGUGGUUCGGUUUUUCUUCUAAUGUUUGGUUGAUUGUUUUUUAGUAAGGCUUUGAUUAGUAACAUGAGUUAAGUUUGAUUUAGACUGAGUUAUAUAUGGGUGUAA
rnacentral:lncRNA from 1 species